rnacentral:rRNA from 1 species
AAACCAACCGGGAUUGCCUUAGUAACGGCGAGUGAAGCGGCAAAAGCUCAAAUUUGAAAUCUGGUACCUUCGGUGCCCGAGUUGUAAUUUGGAGAGGGCAACUUUGGGGUCGUUCCUUGUCUAUGUUCCUUGGAACAGGACGUCAUAGAGGGUGAGAAUCCCGUGUGGCGAGGAGUGCGGUUCUUUGUAAAGUGCCUUCGAAGAGUCGAGUUGUUUGGGAAUGCAGCUCUAAGUGGGUGGUAAAUUCCAUCUAAAGCUAAAUAUUGGCGAGAGACCGAUAGCGAACAAGUACAGUGAUGGAAAGAUGAAAAGAACUUUGAAAAGAGAGUGAAAAAGUACGUGAAAUUGUUGAAAGGGAAGGGCAUUUGAUCAGACAUGGUGUUUUGUGCCCUCUGCUCCUUGUGGGUAGGGGAAUCUCGCAUUUCACUGGGCCAGCAUCAGUUUUGGUGGCAGGAUAAAUCCAUAGGAAUGUAGCUUGCCUCGGUAAGUAUUAUAACCUGUGGGAAUACUGCCAGCUGGGAC